GAAGCCAGUGGAGCAACAUCACACAUCCUGAGGAGAACAUCUCCUGGAGCAUCUGGAGGUUAGGGUAGGAACUAUGGGGAUGGAGGAGGUUCCUGUGCAUCCUGGGUAAGAUCUGCAACUACACCCUGCUGAGGCUGCCUGUGGAAGGGCAAUCUUCAGGAAAUGCCACACCUGUGCCUUCCCAAUAAAAGAUCAACGUGUCUUCCAGUGUUUGUAAUGAAAUGGCUUGACACUACAUUGAAAUGGCAGAUUAUAUUAUUGUACCACAAAUGAGAGAUGUUGACUCAAGAAGUGUUUCUAGAUCAAAGUGUGAAGAGCACAAAUUCCAGAAGAGCACAAAUAUUUCAAAGUAUAUUACAAAGGAGACGACUUCCCACUUCGAAGGGAAAUCUGUGGCAUGAGGAUGAAGCAACAAGCCCAAUGUGACUCGGUAAUUUGGUGGCAGACCCUGAGAUAUCAUCCAAGUUUCCUGAUGCCCAAGCCCUUUCCUUUGUCCAUUGUGUCUGCUGCCUGAUUGCAAAAUAGAUACCGAAGAACAAGAUAUACUGACAAGAAGAACACUUUAAAGGAAACAUAAGAGGACUUGAAAUGUAGCACAGCUCAGAUUUGAUUCUCUGGACAACAAAGAAAAAAUAUAACCCCAGCGUUAAGAAUACUGAUAAUUCUGAAGAGGGGAAAUGAAAACUUUGGAUGUUCCUCUGCCUCAUUUGGCUGUUAUACCUGUACUGAAACUACUUUGAUUAAGAAAACAAACACAAAAAUUAACCCAACAGACUUUACAAGUGAUUUUAAAGUAUUUUAACAAGUGUAGGUUUUGUUAAUAUAAUUAUAUCCUGCCAUGUGUGAAGAAAUGUUUGGAAUAUUCAGUAAUAGUGAACCCUAAGACAUCAUGAGACAUCCUUACCUUGCAU